rnacentral:rRNA from 1 species
AUUGAACGCUGGCGGCAGGCUUAACACAUGCAAGUCGAGCGGAGAUGAGGUGCUUGCACCUUAUCUUAGCGGCGGACGGGUGAGUAAUGCUUAGGAAUCUGCCUAUUAGUGGGGGACAACAUUCCGAAAGGAAUGCUAAUACCGCAUACGUCCUACGGUAGAAAGCAGGGGAUCUUCGGACCUUGCGCUAAUAGAUGAGCCUAAGUCGGAUUAGCUAGUUGGUGGGGUAAAGGCCUACCAAGGCGACGAUCUGUAGCGGGUCUGAGAGGAUGAUCCGCCACACUGGGGCGGAGACACGGCCCAGACUCGUACGGGAGGCAGCAGUGAGGAAUAUUGGAAAAUGGAGGGAACCAUGAUCCAGACAUGCCGGGUGUGUGAAGAAAGCCUUAUGGUUGUAAAGCACUUGAAGCGAGGAGGAGGCUACGGAGACUAAUACUCUUGGAUAGUGGACGUUACUCGCAGAAUAAGCAUCGGCUAACUCUGUGCCAGCCGCCGCCGUAAAAC